rnacentral:tRNA from 1 species
GAGGCGGCCCACGGCGGCUUCGGGUGGCCCCAGGCCCUUGCCCUGGCCCUCGGAACCGCCAGCGGCUGGGCGUUCGUGCGCCGCCAGCGCCGCCUCG